rnacentral:rRNA from 1 species
UACGGAGGGUGCGAGCGUUGUCCGGAAUCACUGGGCGUAAAGCGCGCGUAGGCGGACCUGCAAGUCGGGGGUGAAAGCCCGAGGCUCAACCUCGGAACUGCCUUCGAUACUGCGGGUCUCGAGUCCGGGAGAGGUGAGUGGAAUUCCUAGUGUAGAGGUGAAAUUCGUAGAUAUUAGGAAGAACACCAGUGGCGAAGGCGGCUCACUGGCCCGGUACUGACGCUGAGGCGCGAAAGCGUGGGGAGCAAACAGG